rnacentral:rRNA from 1 species
UACGAAGGGGGCUAGCGUUGCUCGGAAUCACUGGGCGUAAAGCGCACGUAGGCGGCUUUCUAAGUCAGGGGUGAAAUCCUGGAGCUCAACUCCAGAACUGCCUUUGAUACUGGGAGCUCGAGUCCGGGAGAGGUGAGUGGAACUCCGAGUGUAGAGGUGAAAUUCGUAGAUAUUCGGAAGAACACCAGUGGCGAAGGCGGCUCACUGGCCCGGUACUGACGCUGAGGUGCGAAAGCCAGGGGAGCAAAGCGGG